rnacentral:lncRNA from 1 species
CUAUCCAUCAUUCACAUGUCCAUCUACUACCCAUCAUUCACCUGUCCAUCUACUACCCAUCAUUCACCUGUCCAUCUACUAUCCAUCAUUCACCUGUCCAUCUACUAUCCAUCAUUCACAUGUCCAUCUACUAUCCAUCAUUCACCACAUCAUUCACAUGUCCAUCUACUAUCCAUCAUUCACAUGUCCAUCUACUACCCAUCAUAUACCUGUCCAUCUACUGUCCAUCAUUCACCUGUCCAUCUACUAUCCAUCAUUUACCUGUCCAUCUACUAUCCAUUAUCCCCCCCAUGCAUGUUGCUGCUUUAUAAUUCAUUGUUGUUUUCAUUUUUUCAUUUGAGAGUUUAUCCAGUUUAUUGCCUUAAUAGACAACAUUUAUCCGAGUAGUGUAUUAAUGUAGCGUCUUUAUAUAGCAUACCCUUCGAAUGCAGGGACUCUUAUGCAAAAAUUGUGUCCUGUUUUUCCACCUGUAGUGUCUCAUCGUGCAGAAUUGAACACAUAAGAAAUACUGUAUAUUUCAACAAGGUACUAAAGAAUGAAUUACUAGCCUUGUUGGUUCUGCAAAGACUGUAAAAUAAUCCUUCCCAUUUUGUAUUGCCGCUCCUCGCUAACUUAGCUACUAGUCUACAUUAGCACAGCUGUUGACUGUACAACACUGUCUUAACACAUGCGGUUUUCUACCUCUGAGAUGAGAUUCCAUGGUACUUGUAACACCAUUGAGAAGGUGUACAUGUCAAAUAUUUAUUCUGCACCUGUCUAAUGCCUUACUGGGUGAACUAUAUUGCAUUUUACUCUAAUUUCUGUUUAAAAACAAACUGAAAUGUUUCAGAAGGACACGUGUGUUUGUGUGAGGAGGAAUUCUUUAAAGAAUGAAGUAUGUUUUUGAAGUUUCAUUCUAAAAUGCUAUAUAUCCAUUUUCAGAAAUGUUGGUGAUUUAGCUUUUAUUGUUUAAAGGUCAUGAACAGUCAAAAUCAUGUUUUUCAUGAAAUUGGAUGAUAUUUGAAGGAAACCAGAUUAAAGUAUUGAUGACCAAAGUAUGAAAAAUGACCGUUGCUUCUAUAUUGAUCAAGUUUGAUCAUAAAGCUACUGGCCCCUCCCCCAUGUCAAACACUGGUAACAUUGUAUUCUCUUACCUAAUUUACAUAAGUAUUCAGACCCUUGGCUAUGAGACACGAAAUUGAGCUCAGUUGCAUCCUGUAUCCUGUUUACAUUGAUCAUCCUUGAGAUGUUUCUACAACUUGAUUGGAGUCCACCUGUGGUAAGUUCAAUUGAUUGGACAUGAUUUGGAAAGGCACACACCUGUCUAUAUAAGGUCCCACAGUUGACAGUGCAUGUCAGAGCAAAAACCAAGCCUUGAGGUCGAAGGAAUUGUCAGGAUUGUGUCGAGGCACAGAUCUGGG